UUAAGUUCAGCGGGUAUCCUCUACUGAUCCGAGGUCAAAAGUGAAAAAGGCUUGUGGAAGCGGGCGUAUAGCUUUGAAUCGCGACUUGUGCUGCGCUUCAAAACCAAACACUGGCUGCCAAUUACUUUAAGGCGAGUCCCUCAGGACAAACACCCAACACAAGCAAAGCUUGAAGGUACAAAUGACGCUCGAACAGGCAU
rnacentral:misc_RNA from 1 species